rnacentral:piRNA from 1 species
UGAGAACUUGAACUUGGCCUACAUCAUCC